rnacentral:pre_miRNA from 1 species
GUGGAAACAUUUCCGCACAAACUAGAUUCUGGACACCAGUGUGCGGAAGUGCUUCUGCUG